UACGGGAGGCAGCAGUGGGGAAUAUUGGACAAUGGGCGAAAGCCUGAUCCAGCCAUGCCGCAUGAGUGAAGAAGGCCUUCGGGUUGUAAAGCUCUUUUAGUGAGAAAGAUAAUGACGGUACUCACAGAAGAAGUCCUGGCUAACUCCGUGCCAGCAGCCGCGGUAAUACGGAGAGGGCUAGCGUUAUUCGGAAUUAUUGGGCGUAAAGAGCGCGUAGGCUGAUUAGUAAGUUAAAAGUGAAAUCCCAAAGCUUAACUUUGGAAUUGCUUUUUAAAACUGGUUAGCUAGAGUCUUGUAGAGGGGGUAGAAUUCCAUGUGUAGCGGUGAAAUGCGUAGAGAUGUGGAGGAAUACCGGUGGCGAAGGCGGCCCCUGGACAAAGACUGACGCUCAUGUGCGAAAGCGUGGGGAGCAAACAGGGAUUAGAUACC
rnacentral:rRNA from 1 species